rnacentral:rRNA from 1 species
CCUACGGGUGGCAGCAGUGGGGAAUAUUGCACAAUGGGGGAAACCCUGAUGCAGCGACGCCGCGUGAGUGAAGAAGGUCUUCGGAUCGUAAACUUCUAUCAGCCGGGAAGAAGCAAGUGCCAGUACCUGCCUAAGAAGCUCCGGCUAACUACGUGCCAGCAGCCGCGGUAAUACGUAGGGGGCAAGCGUUAUCCGGAAUCACUGGGUGUAAAGGGUGGGAAGGCGGUAGGGCAAGCCAGAUGUGAAAGCCCGGGGCUCAACCCCGGGAUUGCAUUUGAAACUGGCUGACUAGAGUGCGGGAGAGGAAAGCGGAAUUCCAAGUGUAGCGGUGAAAUGCGUAGAUAUUAGGAAGAACACCGAUGGCGAAGGCGGCUCUCUGGGCUGUAACUGACGCUGAGGCACGAAAGCGUGGGGAGCGAACAGGAUUAGAUACCCUAGUAGUC